rnacentral:rRNA from 1 species
UACAGAGGUCUCAAGCGUUGUUCGGAUUCAUUGGGCGUAAAGGGUGCGUAGGCGGCGCGGUAAGUCGGGUGUGAAAUCUCGGAGCUUAACUCCGAAACUGCAUUCGAUACUGCGGUGCUUGAGGACUGGAGAGGAGACUGGAAUUCAUGGUGUAGCAGUGAAAUGACGUAGAGAUCAUGAGGAAGACCAGUGGCGAAGGCGGGUCUCUGGACAGUUCCUGACACUGAGACACGAAGGCCAGGGGAGCAAACGGGG